rnacentral:rRNA from 1 species
AAAUUGAAGAGUUUGAUCAUGGCUCAGAUUGAACGCUGGCGGCAGGCCUAACACAUGCAAGUCGAACGGUAACAGGGAUCAGCUUGCUGAUUCGCUGACGAGUGGCGGACGGGUGAGUAAUGUCUGGGAAACUGCCUGAUGGAGGGGGAUAACUACUGGAAACGGUAGCUAAUACCGCAUAACGUCGCAAGACCAAAGAGGGGGACCUUCGGGCCUCUUG